rnacentral:SRP_RNA from 1 species
GCCAGGCAUGGUGGCACAUGCCUGUAGUCCCAGCUACUUGGGAGGCUGAGGCAGGAGGAUCACUUGAGCCCAGGAAUUUGUGGCUGCAGUGAGCUAUAACUGUGCCACUGCAUUCCAGCCUGGAAGACAGAGUGAGACCCUGUCUCAA